UGGAGUAUGGCCAAGUGGUACGGCAUCAAUUUUUAGUACGGCAUGCAAAGGUUCGAAUCCUUUUACUCCAG
rnacentral:tRNA from 2 species